AUGAUUAGGGAUUUUUGGUGGGGCGAUGAAGAAGGCCACAGGAAGGUACAUUGGAUGUCAUGGGAACGAAUGACAAAACCAAAAAGGGUAGGGGGCAUUGGAUUCAGAGAUAGGCACUUAUUUAACCAAGCGCUCCUAGCCAAGCAAGAGUGGCGGCUGAUCCAGAACCCAAAUAGCCUAUGUGCGAGAGUCCUUAAGUCCAAAUAUUACCCGCACGGUAACCUUCUGGACAUAGUGUUUGUGACUGAUGCAUCCCCAGUUUGGAGAGCAAUAGAGUUUGGCCUCGAGCUUCUGAAAAAGGGUCUAAUAUGGAGAGUGGGAGAUGGCCAGAAGAUCCAAAUAAAACGCGACCAAUGGAUCCCACGACGAGAGGGACUCAUGACAGCAACAUUCAUAAGGAGAUCCCGGAUCAGAUGGGUUAACCAACUCAUGCACACAGAUAGAAAGGAGUGGAACGAAGAAUUAAUAAGGCAAAUUUUCCACCCUUUUGAUGCAGACGAGAUUUGCAAAAUCCAUAUCCCAUCCUCAGACGUGGAGGACCGCAUAGCAUGGCAUCAUGAGAGAAACAUCGUUUUUUUGGUCAGAAGCGCCUACAAACUUGCGGCGAUGGGACUUCCACAACUAGCUCAAAACCCCUCUAGCUCGACCAGGGACCCAAAUGAUCAGAGCAUAUGGGACCUAAUCUGGAAAUCCAAGGUGCUGGGGAAAAUAUGA
rnacentral:rRNA from 1 species